UAUAUAUAUAUAUAUAUAUAUAUUACACAUUAUGCAUGUACAGAAUUUUAUUAUUAUGAUGUUUGAAUGUUUCGCUAGUGAAUGAAAUAAGGUGGUACUGGAACGAAGACUUGUCCUUAUUUGUAGGUUUAAUUGACGUUCUGAUAUACCCACACGCAGUUGUUCACAUAUACACUAGAACAUUUAUAUAGCCUUAUUAUAUUUCUUUUGAUAAAUAAUACAUACAUUUUAAUCUGGAAUGAUGAAUUAAAAUAUUUUCUAUAUAACAUUU